CUGAUGCAGCGACGCCGCGUGAGGGAUGAAGGCCUUCGGGUUGUAAACCUCUUUCAGCAGGGAAGAAGCGUAAGUGACGGUACCUGCAGAAGAAGCGCCGGCUAACUACGUGCCAGCAGCCGCGGUAAUACGUAGGGCGCAAGCGUUGUCCGGAAUUAUUGGGCGUAAAGAGCUCGUAGGCGGUCUGUCGCGUCUGGUGUGAAAACCCAUGGCUCAACCAUGGGCUUGCAUCGGGUACGGGCAGACUAGAGUGCGGUAGGGGAGACUGGAAUUCCUGGUGUAGCGGUGGAAUGCGCAGAUAUCAGGAGGAACACCGAUGGCGAAGGCAGGUCUCUGGGCCGCAACUGACGCUGAGGAGCGAAAGCAUGGGGAGCGAACAGGAUUAGAUACCCUGGUAGUCCAUGCCGUAAACGUUGGGCACUAGGUGUGGGGCUCAUUCCACGAGUUCCGUGCCGCAGCAAACGCAU
rnacentral:rRNA from 1 species